GGAAUAAUGAGUUUGAAAGUGAAUGGUGGAGAUUCUAAUAGUAAAGAGGAGGAGGGUAAUGGGAGUAAAAAACAUAGGGCUGAGGAACAAGACAAAGUGGAAAGAUCAGAGUCUGCAAGGCAAAGCAAAGAUAAUGCAUCAAAUCCCCGUGCUAGAAAGAGGAAGGAUGAGAAUGGUAAUGAGAUUCUAUCAAAUAUGUGUCAUCAGUGCCAGAGGAAUGACAAAGGAAGGGUUGUUCGCUGCACCAGCUGUAAAACAAAGCGAUACUGCAUUCCUUGCAUAACCACAUGGUACCCUGGAAUGCCCGAGGAGGCUUUUGCAGAGUCUUGUCCUGUUUGUCGUCAAAACUGUAAUUGCAAAGCAUGCUUGCGUUUGGAUGGGCCAAUAAGGGCUUUGAAGGAUUCACAAUGUCAGAUUAGCGAAGAAGAAAAGUUUGAACAUUCAAAAUUCAUUUUGCAAAUACUUUUGCCUUUCUUGAGAAGAUUUAAUGCAGAGCAAGUGAUGGAGAAGGAGAUUGAAG
rnacentral:misc_RNA from 1 species